rnacentral:lncRNA from 1 species
UGGCUUUUUACCAUGAAUAUAGUAGUUAUUAUUGAAGCACACUUUCCUCUAGAACAUUGCUACACAAACAGUGGUACAGGGGCCAGGUACAUUAGUAUCAUAUGUGAUCUUCUUAAAAAUGGAAAAUAUUGGUCCUGACCCCAGAUUUAAAAAGUUACAGCCUUCAUUUUAACAAGAUCUCCACUGCAGAUUUAGGUGCACAUGAACAUUUGAGAAGCACUGCCCUAGGUGUCUUACCCCUAGAGAACAGGUGCAUACACUGGUCAUUCUCUGAUUUCUCUCAGUGCUUAAUACACUUCUUGUGCCAUAAGGUUCUAAUGAUUUGUUAACUAAAUUUCUUAAAACAAAUUCUAAAAACUGAAAAUGCACUCAUACUUUAUUUUUAAUUUUUUCUUGAGAUAAAAUUUACAUUACAUAAAAUUCACAAUUUUAACCAUUUUAAAGUGUACAAUUCAGUGGGAUUUAGUAUAUUUACAAUACUGUAAAACUAACAUCACUAUUUAAUCUAUUUAAUUCCAGAAGAUUUCCUUCAUCCUAAAAAGAAAUUCUAUACCUUCCAGUAUCCCUUCCCCCCACCUCUUGGUAAGAACUACCUUGCUUUCUGUCUCUGUGGAUUUGCCUCUUCUGUACGUUUCAUAUGAAUGGAAUGAUACAUUGAUACAUUAUGUGGCCUUCCUUUUGUGGCUUCUUUCACUUAGCAAAAUGUUUUCAAGGUUCAUCUAUAAAACUUUAUUCCUUUUUAUGGCUAAAUAAUAUUCCAUUGCAUAAAUAUACCACAUUUUAUUUAUCCAUUCAUCAGUUGGCAGGCAUUUGGGUUGUUUUUACUUUUCGGCUAUUAUGAAUAUUGAUAUUCAUACGAAGAUUUGUGUACAAAUUUUUAUGAGAACAUGGUUUUUAAUUUUGGAGGAGUAUAUUCGCAGGAGUGGAACUACUAGGUCCUAUAGUAACUAUAUAUUUAACUUUGAGGAACUGCAAAACUAUUUUCAAUAGCAGCUGCACCAUUUUACAUUCCCACUAGCAAUGUACAGGAACUAAAAUUGUUUAUACCCUUGCCAACUCUUGUUAUUUUUCAUUUUAAAAAAAUUAUACCCAUUCUAGUGAGCAUGAAGUGCUACCUCAUUAUUGGUUUUAUUUUUAGUAGAGAUGGAGUAUCACUAUGUUACCCAGGCUGGUCUCCAACUCCUGGGCUCAAGUAACCCUCCUGCCUUGGCCUCCCAAAGCACUGGAAUUAUAGGGGUGAGCCACCACACCUGGCCCAUUGUAGUUUUGCUUUGCAUUUCCCUAAUGACUAAUGAUGCUGAGCAUAUCUCCAGGUUCUUACUGGCCAUACCUUCUUUGGAGAAAUGUUUAUUAAAAAGCAUUGCCCAUUCUUAACUGUUACUCGUCUAUCGUUGAGUUGUAGGAGGUCUUUAUAUAUUCGGAAUACUAGACGUUUAGCAGACAUAUGAUUUGCAAAUAUUCUCUCCCAUUGUGUGGGCUGUCUUUUCACUCAAUUAAUAGUUUCUUUUGAUACACAACUUUUAAAUUUUUGAUGAAAUAAAAAUUAUCCAUUUUUUUAUUUUGAUAUAUAUGGUUUUGGUGUCAUAUUUAGGUAACCACUGCUUAGUCCAAGUUCACAAAGAUAUACAUCUAUGUUUCCUUCUCAGAAUUUGGUAGUUUUAGUGCUACAUUUAGGUCCCUGAUUCUUUUUGGGUUAAUUUUUGUAUAUGGUGUAAUAUAGGGGUUCAGCUUCAUUAUUUUGCACCUGGAUAUCCAGUUGUCCUAGCACCAUUUGUUGAAAAAACUAUUCUUUCCCUAUUAAAUGGUCUUGACACCAUUGCAGAAAUAAGUUGACUGUAGAUGGACGGACUCAUUUCUGGAUUCUCACUUCUAUUGCAUUGAGAUUACAUAGAUAGAUAGGUAGAUAGACAGACAGAUGAUAGAUAGAUAGAUAGAUAGAUAGAUAGAUAGAUAGAUAGAUGAUAGAUAGAUAGAUAAAUAGACAGGUAGACAUAGAGAUAUCUUAUGCCAAUACCACACUGUUUGAAUACCAUUGUUUUGAAAUUGAAAAGUGUGAAUGCUCUGACUUUGUCCUUCUUUUUAAAGAGUUUUGGCCAUUUUUGGUCCCUUGCAAUUCCAAAUGAGUUUUAAUAUCAGCUUGUCAUAUAAGAUCAUGUCAUCUGCAAAUAGGGAUAGUUUUAUUUCUUCCUUUCCUGUGUGGAUGCAUUUUGUUUCUUUUUUCUUUUCUUUUUCCCCCUAAUUCCCUGGGUAAAAUUUCAAAUGCAAAGUUGAAAGGAAGUGACAACAAUGGACAUCCUUGCCUUUUUCCUGAUUUUAGAAGAAAAGCUUUCAGACUUUCAACAUUAAGUAUGAUGUUAGGUGUGGGUUUCUUAUAGAAACCCUUUAUUAAAUUGAGAAUGUCUUCCUUAUUCCCAGUUUGCUAAGUGUUUUUAUCAUGAAAGCAUAUUGGAUUUUGUCAAAUGCUUUCUCUUUGUCUAUUGAAGUGAUCACAUGUAUUGUUUCUUUCAUUUUAUUAAUAUGGUGUAUUACAUUGAUUAAUUUUUAAAUGUUGAACUACCCUUGCAUUCCUGGGAUAAAUUUCACUUGGUAAUGGCGUAUAAUCCUUCCAAUGUUCUGCUGUAGUCGGUUUAUUAGUACUUUGUUGAAGAUUUUUGCAUGUAUAUACAUUAGGGAUAUUAGGCUGUAGUGUUUUUCUUAAAAAAAAGCUACAUGUUUUCGGCAUUGUAUUGAAGUAGUAUUAGCCUCAUGAUAUGAGUUAAAAAUCAUUCCUUCCUCUUCGUUUUUUUUUUUUUUUUUUUUGGAAGAGUGAGAAGGAUUAGUCUUAACCCUCCUUUUAAUAUUUGGUAAAAUUCACCAGUGAAGCCAUUUUGCUCCUGAACUUUUCUUUUGGGAAGUUUUACGAUUAUUAAUCCAACUUCCUUAUUUGUUAUAUGUCUAUUCAGAUUUUCUAUUUCUUCUGAGUCAGUUUCAGUAGUUUGUGCCUUUCUAGGAAUUUGUCUGUAUUAUCUAAGUUAUGUAACUUUUUGCCAUACAGUUGUUCAUAGCAUCCUCUUAUAAUUAUUUUCACCUCUGUAAGGUCAGUAAAAAUGUCCUUAAUUUCAUUCCUGACUUCUUGCUACUUUCAAAAUUAUCUUUGUCUUUUUCUUUCAAUAGUUUGAUUAUGAUUUGUCUAGGGGUAAAUCUCUUUGAGUUUAUCCUGUUGGGUUUUGUUAAAUUUCUUGGGUGUGUAGAUUAAUGUGUUUCAACAAAUUUGGGGAGUUUUGAGCCAUUAUUUAUUUAAAUAUUCUUCUGCCUUUUUUCUCUUCCCUCUCCUUCUAGGACUCCUCUUAUGUGUAUGUUGGUAUAUAUGAUGAUGUCUCACAGAUCUCUCAUGCUGUAUUCAUUUUUUUCUUUAUUCUCUUUCUGCUCCUCAGAUUGGAUAAUCUUAAUUGAUUUAUCUUCAAAUUAACUGAUAUUUUCUUCUGCCUGCCCAAUCUUCAGUUGAUGAAUUUUUCAUUUUAGUUAUUGUACAUUUCAACUCUUAAAUUUCUAUUUGGUAUCUUUUAAUAAUUUCUAUCCCCUUAUUUCUAGUCUCUAUUUUAUGAGAUGUUUUCGUGCUUUUCUUUUUCUAAGCAGGAUUUCCUGUAGCUCUUUGAACAUAUUUAAAAUAGCUACUUUAAAGUCUUUGUCUUACAAGUCUAAUGUCUGGGCUUUCUUAGGAGCCAGUUAUAUUAAUUGCUAUUUUUUCUGUGUAUGGGCCAUAUUUUCCUGUUUCUUUUCGUGCCCCCAAAUUUUUGUUGCAAAUUUGACAAGUUGGAUAUUACAGCAUGGAAACUCUGGAAAUCAGAUUCUUCCCCUCUUCGGAGUUUGCUUUUUCUGCUUGUUGUAGUUGUUGUUUAUAUUUUAGUGAUUUUUUAAAACUAGUUUUAAAAAAUUAAGCUAAUUUACAAAACUAGUUUUAAAAAAUCACUAAAAUUAAUUCUGUAUUAUUUGUCAUGUGUGCCCCCUGAAGUCUCUGUUCCAUUAGCUUAGUCAUCAGCUAAAGAUUUAACAAAGAUUUCUAUAAAUAUCCUGAACAAAAAAAUUUCCCAAUCUUUGCAGAAGUGUCUGUUUUGAUGCAUGACUUCAAUAUUCAGCCUGGCAAUUUACAACUCAGCUAUAGCUUUCACUUUCUGAUUGCACAGAGCCUGAGGAUCAGCCAGAGGGGAAAAAAUAUUUGCCUGUAAAUGUUUUUGAGCAACGGUUUCCAAGUAGUGGCUUUAGUCCUGGGUGACUUCUGACUUAGGUAAGAUAAAACAAAUCUUUUGAGCCAACCUUCCAAGGAACCACCAGGCAGACCAAGGACGAUCUUUGCAAAAGAGGUCUAUUCUGCUUCUUCAGUGCUGGAACUGGCAAUGCAGGCUUCUAUUGUCAAGGCUACUGCUGAGCUGAGGAAAAAAGGAUAGAACUAGUGUAAGUUAAAACACCACAAAGCUCACUAUAAUUAUAAAGAUUCAGCAGUUUUUCUUGAAUAAAUGCUCCGUGGGUUGUUGCAAGCUUUUGUUAGUUUUCAGCAUUCCAAAAAUAUUGAUUCUGACAGGUUUUUUUCCCCAUUUUUUAGUUGAUUUUAAUGAGGGAUAGACUUUUAGAGUUGCUUACCCUGCCUCUUGUGCUGACGUCAUUCCUCUGCACACAUACUUUUAAUCAGAAUGAGUCAGGUACAUAAAGGAGCAAAUGCAUUAUAGGUCAACAGGUUGCUUUCCAAAUUGUCUCUUCAAAUUCUCUUUCUUUAUGAGAAAAUAUUUUGCUGAGACUUGCUUCUUAAGAAAAUGACCUGUGAUUUAUAUCGUGAUUCAAAUUUUAUGUUGCAAAUCUUCAUAUGAGCAAACGCAUCUCUGAAGAGAUCCAGUGAGAGAGUUGCUCAAUCAUCAAGAUGAAACGAGAGCGCCAGGCCAGGAUGAAAAUAAACUAGUGAUGAACAAGAAGAAAGAUAGAUGAUAUUUAUUGAGACUAUCCAGAGCUGAAGAUACAGCAGUCAUCAAAGCAUAGAAAUUCUUCACUCUCAAGGACCUUACAUUCUAGUAAGAGAAGAAGAAAAUAAAUAAACUCUGUUCUCUCUGUUCUGUCAUCUAUAAAGAGCCACAGUAUGCUGAUGAUUUGGUUUAACCUUACUUGACCUCAGUUUCUUCAUGUGACAGGUAAAGCCAACAAGAAUUGCUUAACGGGUCGAAUGUGGGAGAAAGAAAAUGAAGAAUUUUCUCACAGACUAGCUUCUGGUAAUGAAGCCGAGCACCACUUCAUGAGCUGGGCACCAUAAGAUAGGUUCAUAUCCUGAUAUGAACUCUGGCUCUGCAUCUUCAUGUCAACAUAUCUGAUCCAAAUCUUUUGUGAGUUAUAUGAGUAGUUAUUAUAUCAAGAAUUCUUCCUGUAAAGAAAUAAUCCAUCCUCCACUCAGUCCACCUCUUAUAUCACACUUCAGGUCCUACAAAAUGUUCGGCAUUUUCCCAACUACAUCCACCUCCUUGGCACAUUAAAAUGAGUGUUGUACCAAAUGCCCAUCAAUGAUAGACUGGAUAAAGAAAAUGUGGCACAUAUACACCAUGGAAUAUUAUGCAGCCAUAAGAAAGAAUGAGUUCAUGUCCUUUGCAGGGACAUGGAUGAAGCUGGAAGCCAUCAUUCUCAGCAAACUAACACAGGAAUAGAAAACCAAACACCGCAUGUUCUCACUCAAAAGUGGGUGUUGAACAAUGAGAACACAGGGAGCGGAACAUCACACACCAGGGCCUGUAGGGGGUGGGGGGCAAGGAAAGGGAGAGCAUUAGGACAAACACCUAAUGCAUGCGGGGCUUAAGACCUAGAUGAUGGGUUGAUGGAUGCAGCAAACCACCAUGGCACAUGUAUACCUAAGUAACAAACCUGCACAUUCUGCCCAUGUAUCCCAGAACUUAAAAUAAAAAAAAAAUUAAAAAG